rnacentral:rRNA from 1 species
UACGUAGGGGGCAAGCGUUGUCCGGAUUUAUUGGGCGUAAAGAGCGUGUAGGCGGCUUUACAGGUCCGUUGUGAAAACUCGAGGCUCAACCUCGAGACGCCGGUGGAAACCGUAAAGCUAGAGUCCGGAAGAGGAGAGUGGAAUUCCUGGUGUAGCGGUGAAAUGCGCAGAUAUCAGGAGGAACACCCGUGGCGAAAGCGGCUCUCUGGGACGAUACUGACGCUGAGACGCGAAAGCGUGGGGAGCAAACAGG